UGCAAGUCGAACGGUGAAGUCCCAGCUUGCUGGGAUGGAUCAGUGGCGAACGGGUGAGUAACACGUGAGCAACCUGCCCUCCACUUCGGGAUAAGCCUUGGAAACGGGGUCUAAUACCGGAUAUGAGCCUGCAUCGCAKGGUGUGGGUUGGAAAGUUUUUCGGUGGGGGAUGGGCUCGCGGCCUAUCAGCUUGUUGGUGGGGUGAUGGCCUACCAAGGCGUCGACGGGUAGCCGGCCUGAGAGGGCGACCGGCCACACUGGGACUGAGACACGGCCCAGACUCCUACGGGAGGCAGCAGUGGGGAAUAUUGCACAAUGGGCGCAAGCCUGAUGCAGCGACGCCGCGUGAGGGAUGACGGCCUUCGGGUUGUAAACCUCUUUCAGCAGGGAARAAGCGCAAGUGACGGUACCUGCAGAAGAAGCGCCGGCUAACUACGUGCCAGCAGCCGCGGUAAUACGUAGGGCGCAAGCGUUGUCCGGAAUUAUUGGGCGUAAAGAGCUCGUAGGCGGUCUGUCGCGUCUGGUGUGAAAUCCCGAGGCUCAACCUCGGGCUUGCAUCGGGUACGGGCAGACUAGAGUGCGGUAGGGGAGACUGGAAUUCCUGGUGUAGCGGUGGAAUGCGCAGAUAUCAGGAGGAACACCGAUGGCGAAGGCAGGUCUCUGGGCCGCAACUGACGCUGAGGAGCGAAAGCAUGGGGAGCGAACAGGAUUAGAUACCCUGGUAGUCCAUGCCGUAAACGUUGGGCACUAGGUGUGGGGCUCAUUCCACGAGUUCCGUGCCGCAGCUAACGCAUUAAGUGCCCCGCCUGGGGAGUACGGCCGCAAGGCUAAAACUCAAAGGAAUUGACGGGGGCCCGCACAAGCGGCGGAGCAUGCGGAUUAAUUCGAUGCAACGCGAAGAACCUUACCAAGGCUUGACAUGCACCGGAAACACUCAGAGAUGGGUGCCCCGUAAGGUCGGUGCACAGGUGGUGCAUGGUUGUCGUCAGCUCGUGUCGUGAGAUGUUGGGUUAAGUCCCG
rnacentral:rRNA from 1 species